rnacentral:rRNA from 1 species
UACGGAGGGUGCAAGCGUUAUCCGGAUUCACUGGGUUUAAAGGGUGCGUAGGUGGGCAGGUAAGUCAGUGGUGAAAUCUCCGGGCUUAACCCGGAAACUGCCGUUGAUACUAUUUGUCUUGAAUAUUGUGGAGGUAAGCGGAAUAUGUCAUGUAGCGGUGAAAUGCUUAGAUAUGACAUAGAACACCAAUUGCGAAGGCAGCUCACUACACAAUCAUUGACGCUGAGGCACGAAAGCGUGGGGAUCAAACAGG